rnacentral:rRNA from 1 species
AUUGAACGCUGGCGGCAUGCCUUACACAUGCAAGUCGAACGGCAGCGCGGACUUCGGUCUGGCGGCGAGUGGCGAACGGGUGAGUAAUACAUCGGAACGUACCCUGUUGUGGGGGAUAACUAGUCGAAAGAUUAGUUAAUACCGCAUACGACCUGAGGGUGAAAGUGGGGGACCGCAAGGCCUCACGCAGCAGGAGCGGCCGAUGUCUGAUUAGCUAGUUGGUGGGGUAAAGGCCCACCAAGGCGACGAUCAGUAGCUGGUCUGAGAGGACGAUCAGCCACAGCGGGACUGCGACACGGCCCAGACUCCGGCGGGAGGCAGCAGUGGGGAAUUUUGGACAAUGGGGGCAACCCUGAUCCAGCAAUGCCGCGUGUGUGAAGAAGGCCUUCGGGUUGUAAAGCACUUUUGUCCGGAAAGAAAUCGCGCUGGUUAACACCUGGCGUGGAUGACGGUACCGGAAGAAUAAGCACCGGCUAACUACGUGCCAGCAGCCGCGGUAA